rnacentral:misc_RNA from 1 species
CUCAAAGUAUUCAAACCAGAAUUAGACAGAAAAUUCGCAAGUUCUCUCUUUCAGAGCUUCGUCCGAGGCAGCCGGCGGUUACGCAUUCAGAUCGGAACUUUGGGAUACAAUGUCUAUGGUUGAUGAGCCCCUAUACCCAAUAGCUGUUCUCAUAGACGAGCUAAAAAAUGAUGACAUCCAGCUCCGGCUAAACUCAAUCCGUAGACUGUCUACAAUUGCUCGUGCUCUUGGGGAGGAGCGAACCCGGAAGGAAUUAAUUCCAUUUUUGAGUGAAAACAAUGAUGAUGAUGAUGAGGUUCU